GGCAGUAGCGCGGUGGUCCCACCUGACCCCAUGCCGAACUCAGAAGUGAAACGCCGUAGCGCCGAUGGUAGUGUGGGGUCUCCCCAUGCGAGAGUAGGGAACUGCCAGGCA
rnacentral:rRNA from 3 species